CAGUGCGACUUGGUGGUCCGGUCCCUGACCCAGCGCAGAGCUCCCUAGCCUCGGAGUCAACCAGUGCGGUGGCGACUAAAUGCAGAAGAAUGGGCUAGAUCGCUGUAGUAGGAUUUGGAGGCACAGUUCUGGAAUCGGAACAGACUGCAGCUUGAAGACAUGAGGGAGCACGUGGGAAAACUGAAUCGCUCAAUCGGUCAAAGCUAUUAGUGGUGAAGUAUGCUUAGGAGGAUUAUCACCAAGAGGCAGACUUUCCAAUCGGCCUUUCGACAUUCGAAGACAAGUGAAGACCACUGCCACUACUAUAUGGACAACAGCUUGGAAAAUAAGAUCUGAAGUGCAGGUCAAGUCAAUGUAAGAAAAAAGACUGGAGUCAAAUUCUAAGAGAGGUCCUUUAAUGAAUAGGAAAACUGGAAUAAUUUCACUAGUGAAAAUGUCACUAUAAAGGAAUAAAAUGGCCAAUUGUUCUUA